GUCGACGAGAGAAUUGCUAGCUUGCUAAUAAUUCUCAAGUGGCGCACGGGUGAGUAACACGUGAGUAACCUGCCCCCGAGAGCGGGAUAGCCCUGGAAACUGGGAUUAAUACCGCAUAGUAUCGAAAGAUUAAAGCAGCAAUGCGCUUGGGGAUGGGCUCGCGGCCUAUUAGUUAGUUGGUGAGGUAACGGCUCACCAAGGCGAUGACGGGUAGCCGGUCUGAGAGGAUGUCCGGCCACACUGGAACUGAGACACGGUCCAGACACCUACGGGUGGCAGCAGUCGAGAAUCAUUCACAAUGGGGGAAACCCUGAUGGUGCGACGCCGCGUGGGGGAAUGAAGGUCUUCGGAUUGUAAACCCCUGUCAUGUGGGAGCAAAUUAAAAAGAUAGUACCACAAGAGGAAGAGACGGCUAACUCUGUGCCAGCAGCCGCGGUAAUACAGAGGUCUCAAGCGUUGUUCGGAAUCACUGGGCGUAAAGCGUGCGUAGGCUGUUUCGUAAGUCGUGUGUGAAAGGCGCGGGCUCAACCCGCGGACGGCACAUGAUGCUGCGAGACUAGAGUAAUGGAGGGGGAACCGGAAUUCUCGGUGUAGCAGUGAAAUGCGUAGAUAUCGAGAGGAACACUCGUGGCGAAGGCGGGUUCCUGGACACUAACUGACGCUGAGGCACGAAGGCCAGGGGAGCGAAAGGGAUUAGAUACCCCUGUAGUCCUGGCAGUAAACGGUGCACGCUUGGUGUGCGGGGAAUCGACCCCCUGCGUGCCGGAGCUAACGCGUUAAGCGUGCCGCCUGGGGAGUACGGUCGCAAGAUUAAAACUCAAAGAAAUUGACGGGGACCCGCACAAGCGGUGGAGUAUGUGGCUUAAUUCGAUGNCACGCGAAGAACCUUACNUGGGCUU
rnacentral:rRNA from 1 species